rnacentral:tRNA from 1 species
GAGGGUAUAGCUCAAGUUGUAGAGCACGUGUUUGGCAUACACAAGGUCCUGGGUUCAAUCCUCAGUACCUCCU